GAUUCCAUUGAGAACUGGCUGAGGUUUGGAAGCUGGGCAAGGGGUCUAGACUUCACCUUUAGAGAGCUGACCUCAGCAUUCUGCUCAUUGAUGUCCAAUCUUUUUUGAUUAUAUGUCUAAAGCAAUAUCCUUGUCAGCUGCCCAUCUAUCUUGCCUAUAGGAACAGCAUAUCCAUGCAUGUCUGUCUUCAUAGAUACCUACAGGCCAGGCCUUCCAGCUGUCACUCUAACAUUCAUGCCCCUUAGGGAAAUUACUUUAUCUUGCCCUCACAGUUAAAUGCUGCCUCUUGGCCUCUGUUAUGCUGGAACUCUUUCAUUUUACUCACUACUGGGGGAUCCAGUUCUAUAAAACAUCCCUAGCAUUAUUCCAGCUUGCAGGGGGCAGCCACCAUUGAGCUUCUCAAGGAUGUGCUGCCCCCUCAGCAGUGCAUUCCUUCUCCCUUUAGUUAGUGUCUGAGACACAUUAGUAGUGUUCCCCUUAGGAGGAACUCAGUCACCUGAUGGAUGGAUUCUCCAGUUGUAGAGUGCAGAGUCAUUCUAGCACACCAACUUCUCUAUCCUUGGGACCCACUUUUCCAGACUCUGCCACAGUAGUUCUGGUAUCUCUGCUUCCACUUGAUUUAAUGUGUACCAUGGCUUAUACUAAGUCUCUAGGAGCCACCCAGGAGUAUAUCAGAAUCAUCACCUUUGGCCCAUGCCAGGCUAGUUAAACUCUGUGGUAGCGAAGCUUGCCCAGUGAGUUCAGGGGGCAUCUGGAGUCAAAGUUCUCAGGUACCUCUAUCUAGAUAGCCCCAUGCUGAGUUUCAUGGCCUU
rnacentral:lncRNA from 10 species